UAUCUAUCUAUCUAUCUAUCUAUCUAUCUAUCUGUGUUUUUUCUAUCUGUGUGUCUGUGUUCAUACCAUGCAUAGUUCAUACUUGAAGAUCAGAGGACCAUUUGUAGAAGUUGGAUCUUUCCACUAUGUGGAUCCCAAGAAUCAAACUCAUGUUAUCAGGCUUAGAGCCUUUAGGCACUGAGCCAUUGAGCUGGCCCAAACAGGCGUCUUUGAAAUGCACUCUCCCAAUUUUGUUCAAGAAAUAUAUAGCGGCAGGAUUACAUGAUAAAAUUAGGUACUGCAGUAUGGACAAUUAAGGGUGCGAAAAUUCAUUGAAUAUGAAUUUUCAUAUUCAUACUUAUUGAAUAUGGGGUACAAAUAAAUCAGGCCCAAAUUGCAGUACCAAACACUGCCUCUUCAAAGCAUCCUAAGAUAUAAGACAUGGACUGUGGGGAGGCCUGAGAGAUGGUGAUUGAGAGCCCAGGUAAAGUGCUGUGUUGGCAGAAGCAAAGAAAGAGAAAACUUUAAAGCAUCUUCUGGCCAGGCAACCUUUAGGAAGAAGAUCAUGUCUGGGUUUCUCUUUUGGAGUGUUUGGCCAUCUCAUGUUUGUGACUUAAGAAUUCUCAGAAUCUUACGUACACAGGGUGUUUUUCACAGAAGCCACCUCCCCUCUCCCCCCACCGCCUCACUGGAAGGUUUGAGUCACUCAGGAUCUGGAGUGGAGUGACAAGCCUCUUCAGAUAAUUGCUGUGAAUGGGAGUCAGCAGAUUACUUACCAGAUGCCCAAGACCACCCCAAUCACAGGACAAAGGAACAGGUUGGACAGUCUGUGACUCAGCUGAAGAAAAUCCAAAGACUUCAAAAAUAUUUUAUAUACCUACAUUUAUGAAUCUAGCAAUGAGUUAUCGCCAUUUAGCAAGAAGAUAGUUUAUCUAGUUUAUUUCCCACAAUCUUUACAAGUGGGAAAAACCAACGUUGCGCCACAAACCGCAAAAUGCCAGGAAAGAAAAAGAAUUCGCUGUUCUUUAUUUAACUCAACUGCAGCCAACUGAGUUUCCUCCUUGUUAGCUUCUUUUCCUCCCAAACAAAACAAAUUUAUAAUAGAAACACUUUCCUGGCACACGAUGUAUUUGGCUUUAACACUGUUUAUCUGUUUUACAAAAAUAUGUUUGCGAACUCCUCUGAGCGUUUCUUGGAAAUAGAAUGCUUUUAGAUAGAGGCAUUAUUGAGGUGUGAUCCUCUGAAUUUAAAAAGUCUGAAUAUGACAUAUUUCAUACCCACGUACAUAUUUUAUAUAAAAAUAUGGUCAUGUUGGGGAAAAAUGAAAAAGAUGAACAGAUGUAAAGAAUUCGUCGUCCUGUUUGCUCUCGGGCCAUUCAUUUUCAGGCAGACAGUCUCUCAUGGUUUAUAUUUUCCCAGAAUUAUAUUUUUCACAGUAGAUAGGAACAUUCCGUUGCUAUGGAGUUCCUCUCAGGAACAAUGCCUUUCAACCGUAUUUGGAUCCAAGAAACGAGUCAGGUGCUUGAGAAGUGCCAGCCUCAGUUUCCAACAUUUCUUGCUUGGAAGAGGCUGAUAUCACUACUAAAAUAAUCACCCACACAGGAAGGAAGACAUUCUGGUAAUUCACUUGUCUCCAGGGAGUUUCAAACCAUGCUGGUUACAGAAGGUACUUGUAGAUUGACCAACCUGCUCCUGACACCAGUGCAAACACAUUUCUAUGUGGAGAAAGCACCAUGCAAGGUCUCCUGAACUCCAUUUAUGCUGACCAUAUUAUCUGCAGAGUCUUCCAAAAGAAUGAAAACACUUUAUGUUUAUGCUAUCCAGAGAGGCAGCCACUGGCUUUAUGGGCUGCUUGUGUGACUGAAGAACUGAUUGUUCAAGAUAUUUAGUUUAUUAAAUUUGCUUUUAGACAAAUUUGCACAUAUAUAAUACAUAUUUUUCUAGUUUGAUGUCUGCUGCUGUGAUUAAACACUAGGGCCAAACUCAGCUUAGGAGAAGAAUGAAUUUUAUUCAGGUUUUAAUUCCAGAUGAUAGUCUAACAUUGAAUGAUGCCAAGGAGUGUGCUUAAGGCAAGAUGUGAAGGCAGGCCUGCCUGGUAUUCCUCCCAGUAUUCUCUGUAACCAAAGAAAUCACCUCACAGGGAAAGUAGUAUAGUUGAAAACAUGGAGAAUGAAGCUUGCUAACCAACAUAUAUUUAGCCUGAUUUCUUAUACAAUUCAGAACCAUCUGCCUAGGGAAUGGUACUGCCCACAAGGGGCCUGACCUUCCUAGCAAUCAACACAUUCCCUAAUAGACCUGCCCACAGGCUAAUCUGAUCCAGGCAAUUGAGAUUCUCUUUGCAGAUAAUUCUGCCAUGUGUUGAACUUAAGAGGAUACAUUUUUGACUACUUUUACCACUACAUCCCUAUCAUCAACAUCAACCUCUCCCCAAGGUAAGUUCACAUAUAUUUAACUUGUUUCCAACCAACCAACCAACCAA
rnacentral:sRNA from 1 species